rnacentral:rRNA from 1 species
GCUUGUCUCAAAGAUUAAGCCAUGCAUGUCUAAGUAUAAGCAAUUUGUACUGUGAAACUGCGAAUGGCUCAUUAAAUCAGUUAUAGUUUAUUUGAUCUUACCUUACUACUUGGAUAACCGUGGUAAUUCUAGAGCUAAUACAUGCAAAAAUGGGCGACUUCUGGAAGCUCAGUAUUUAUUAGAUAAAAAACCAAUCAGCGCAAGCUGUCUACUGGUGAAUCAUGAUAACUUUGGGCUGAUCGUAUGGCCUUGUGCCGACGACGUUUCCUUCGAAGGUGUGCCCUAUCAACUGUCGACUGUGAUAUAGACGCUCACAGUGGUUUUGACGGGUAACGGGGAAUCAGGGUUCGAUUCCGGAGAGGGAGCCUUAAAAACGGCUACCACAUCCAAGGAAGGCAGCAGG